rnacentral:lncRNA from 1 species
AUAAAUAAUUGCUUAUAAAGUUCAUUUAAAAGCCCCUAUGGCCCUGACUCAGAGAUGAAAUUUCUAGCAGGCUUUUCCCUAAUGUCUUUUUUGUAGAAUUAAGAUAGAUAUUAGAAAAAUAUGGUCAUUCUUUGUCUCAGGGAUUACAAGUUGUAAAGAGGAUGGAAACUUGGUCUCACUGGUGGCACAUCUUUGUUGCCAUUGAGGAAAGAGUCUGCUUGAGGAUUAAAUUCAUGUGAAAUUCACCAAUUCAUAAGUAUAAUUUAUCAACUCAAAAUAAGCUAUUAAGUCAUUAAUUUAGCCAUUAAUUCCUAAAUUUAUAUUCAGCAUAAAAAAUGAAUUAAAUGAAUUAAGCCUGCAUUAACAUAUGGGGCCACCAUGGCCAAUUUGUAUGUGACUAAUAUUUAUAGAUAUUAAAUAUUUAGUGAUAAAAAGUAAUUGUUGCUCUCAAUACAUAGAGAUGCAGCCUGAUUCAUAACAACAAACACUUAGUUUUAAUGACAUUUUAAUAUCAAGAACUUCAGAGGACUUAAUGAUUGAUCAGUGAAUUCCCUAGCUCAAUCCCUAGCACCAAGAAAGCAUCCAAUGAAUAUUAGCUUAUUUCUUCCUGUCUGGAUUUUAGUAUUUGCCUCUGCUAAACAGACUCUUUUUCUCAUCACCCAAAUUUACUGCAUGUACACUCUCUCCAAGGGUGAGAAGCAGACACCAUAAGGAAAUCAUUUCAGCUCCAGGGCACUCACAAAUCCUUUACUAUAAAUAUCUUUAUCAAAGGUUUUGCGAGUGCCAGAUAUAGGGGAAAAAAAGAGGAAUUCUGCUCUUAAAUAGCUUAUGGUCUACAAAAGAUGUCUUUCACUGUCCAACAUAUUUUCAUCCUUUUUGUGUGUUUUAGCAUUUCAUAAAUCCUGUAAUUUGGAAGUUUUAAUUUUUAUAUAUUUUCUAGAUUAGAAUUUUGUGUGGUUUGUCCUAUUUUCUAGUUGCAUGUGAGAUAACAUCUAUAUGUAUUUGGAGUUGCUUUGGACAAGAUAUGGGAUUGUUAGGAUUUUUUUACUGCCUAGAUUCCAAUCAUAAUAUUUCCUAUACUAUCAAAGGUCUGGUGAUUAAGAACCAUACAUAGACUAUGAAAAGGUUAAUAAUUGUGGUUUUUAAUAAUGAUAUUUCUCGGAUAAUGGGACCAAAAUGCAGUAUUUAAAUAUGAUUUCAGUCCAUCUACCAUUUAAUUUCUUUUUUAAAAAGUUAAGUUGCAUAUAAUGAUAUUGAUCAUGCAAAGUUUCAUAAGGCAGCAAGUAUAUUAAUUAGUCAAAGGAUCAAAACAUACUAAUUGGGCUAUUCUCUGGGAUUUUACAAAACAUGAAGAAUAAACUUUUAACUUUUAGACUUUUGAAUUAUAAAUGCCACCACUUAACUUGAAUAGUGAAGCAGAAGACCCAAAUUCUUUUUUUUUUUUUUUUUUGUCUUUUUAGGGCCAUACCCAUGGCAUAUGGAGGUUCCCAAGCUAGGGGUUGAAUUGGAACUCUAGCCACCGGCCUACACCAUAGCCAGAGUAAUGUCAGAUCCAAGCCACAUCUACGACCUACACCACAGCUCAUGGCUACGCUAGAUCCUUAACCCACUGAGCAAGACCGGGGAUCGAACCUGCAUCCUCAGGCAUGCUAGUCAGAUUCAUUUCAGCUGAGCCAUGAUGGGAACUCCUAGAAGAUCCAAAUUCUGAUACUACUUCUACCACUAAAAUUAGUAUAUCAUUAUUUGAAUUUUUUUAUUUUUGUCUUUUGUCUUUUGCUGCACCCGAGGCAUAUGGAGGUUCCCAGGCGGGAGCUGAAUCAGAGCUGCAGCUGCUGGCCUAUACCAGAGCCACAGCAACACCAGAUCCAAGCCAUGUCUGUGACCUAGACCAUAGUUCACAGCAACACCAGAUCCUCAACACACUGAGCGAGGCCAGGGAUCAAACCUGCAUCCUCAUUGAUACCAGUCAGGUUCGUUAACUACUGAGCCAUGACAGGAACUCCUAGUUGAAUAUUUUUCCAUCCUACAGGGGACUUCUUGAGUCAAAGUGUUAGGAAAGAAUAACAUUAGCUUAGAUUGCUAUGUUUAUCAGACUUUUUCAGUAGCAAAAGAUCAAAACCCAGACUAAACUAGUUUAAGCAAGAAAGGAAGCUAUAUCUACCUCAUCAUCAUCAUCUCCUCCUCCUCCUCUUCCCCCUUCUCUUGCUUUUCCUCUCCUCCUCCUCCUGGUCUUCUCUCCUUUUCCCUUUCAAUAUCUCUCCCUCUUUCUUUCUGUCUCCAAUGUGUUGACCCCAUUCUCACAUUGUAUUUGGUAGCAAAGGUGGCCAUUAGGAACGCUAGACAUGCAACAUGCAUCAUUCCUAGGGCUCGUAAUUCCAGAAGGAAAUAUUUUUUGGUUCUCUUUAUCCCUAUGUCAGUUUUAUUUCUUUGAAAGACUCUGAUUGGCUCUGUUUUAGAGCCUCUUUUCUCUCCAUUUAAGAGUUGCUCAGAGUGGACAGCCUGUGUGGGAAGGCUCUAUGAGAUUAACCUAGCAAGGUUACUGUCAAUGCCAGAAGAUGAAAGAAAUUCAAAGCAGGCAAAAAUGUAACAGGGCUCCCAACGACCACUACAUAUUUCUAAAUUACUUAGCAUAAUGGCAUGUUACAGGCUUCUGUCAAAUAUGUGUCUUAUUAAUCUUAACCGAGCCUAUCAACAUAUAGGUAAUAUUAAGUUUUUUAGCCCAAAUCUGUUCUCUAUAGCAUUGUAACUAUAAAACAUCUGUAGUAGAAAAUCUCAACCUUGAGUGUCAAGGAGAUUAAUUACAUGUUAUUAACUUUUUCCUUGAUCAUUUAAUAUUUGGCAUAUGUCAGGAAAGUCAACAUUUGGACUCAUUUAGGAAUUUGUCAUUUUAAUACUUAUUUUGGAUUAUUAGAAAUGGGAGUAGGAUAUAAAAAAAGGGAUGCUAAUUAUAUUCUAUGGUCUAGUGUCUACCCUAAGUCACCAUAUGUUUAGGCUGUUCUGUUACAGCAAAGUUUAUAGCCUUUCUACUUUCACCUCUAAUAUUAAUAUUAGCUUAUGUUGUUGAUUUUUGAAAAUAUUGUUUAUGAAUUGAUUUCUUCCCCUUCUACUGUCUUUAAAGAUAUAUGUGUGUAUAUGUAUAUAUAUAAAACAUUCUAAUCAUAUAGAAUCAAUAUGAUGGAUACAAUUAUAUACAGAUAUAUUUGUGUAUAUAUAGUUCUAUAUACAUAAAUAUAACACACAUGUAUAAUUACAUCUUUAUAUGAGUAUAAAGAUAAUAUGAUUUUGUAUGUUUAGAAUGUCAGAUUCUUAUCCUUUUUAGUCUUGUUUUUUAUCAUGGUACGACCUGGCUAAUUUUAAGCAUUUUACUACCACAAACUACAUUUAGGGAUCUUCUUCAAAGAGAAAAAGAUUAAUUUGCUAUGAAUAAUGAUUCUCAUGCAAAACAUUUUGGUGUUUUUUGUGAUGCAGAUGAGCAAUGCUAUAAAUAUAAUUUAGAAAGUUUGAAAAUUGAUUUUAACAUUCACUAUUCUUCUUCCGAAUUAAUCAAAUUACAAAAUUAUGCUGUGGUUUCCAGUAUAUUAAAAUAAGUUGUCAUAUUUGGAACAUCUGUUUAUGCUCCUAUUAUGAAUAUGGGUUUCUAAACAUCUGAACUAUAGAUUGCCAUAAAUAAUGUUUGUUAUUUAUUCUCUGGAAGUAUGAUAUCUACUUCCUCCCACAAUGCUUAUUUCCCACAAAGUAAAUCUUCCAGAUUGUUUUUAUCUUUUUCCUUAUCAAGAUAGAGCAAAAAAAAGUCAGGUUUUAGUUAAGUCUUGCUGAUUGGUUAAGUAAAGGAGGGCUGUCAUCUGCAGCCUUUCCAGACACUGUACCACGACUCCAAAUAGUCAGCUGGUAUUGUCGCUUUGUCUCAACUAUAAAUCAGUCUUGUAAUGGCCAAGGCUGACACCUUGACAUUUUCAAGAAGAGUAAAAGAACUGAUCUGAAUGGAAAUCAAUUUUAUUUCACAAAUCUUGGGUUACUACUCCAAGCCUUUUCUUCUUGUGUCUUCUUGAGACUUACCUGGGAUUUUCACGAUCAUCAAAGGAUUAUUUGAGUUGUUUGUUAUACUAUCACAUCUUUUAGCUAUAGAACCAUAUCCUUACUUCCUUCUUCGAUCUCAAGAUGGAAAACUUUAUUUUUAAAAUUUUAUAUAAUAAAAAAUCACCAAUAUGCCAGAUUUCAUUUUAACCAUGACAUAUUGAUAGUUUAAAAAUGUGGCAGUAGCAGCAAUUGCCAUUGGUUUUGCAGAAUUUUCCCUAAAUGUUCUGUGAUUUAAAAAUACCAGCUGUGUAUACAUAUAUCCAGAUUAAUCAUUGAUUAUACAAUGAUACAUAAUAUCAUUUAUGGAGUGAUUUUUGAACUUCAAUCUACCAGGUCUCAAGCAUAGAAUCCUCUGAAAAAUGUUUUUACUUUUAUAUUCUUGCACACAAAAAGUAGGCUUUAGGAUUUUAGAGUCAGUGAGGAAUAACAUGCAUUUAAUUGUAUUACGUUGGUUGAGAAUUAAAUUCUGCCUCAGUUUUUUGUUGUCAUUGUUGUUUGUUUGUUUAUUUUUUGCCAUUCAACCCAAGUGGCAUAGAAAAAAACUCCACACUUGACUAGUGUGAAAAGAAGGUCUUUAUAGAUCUUUUAGGAACUUGGCAUUAAAUGUUUAAAAAAAAAUUAACUACUCUGGUAUGUCUUCCACUUUAGGAGAACACUGAAAUUUCCUUAAAACUACAGAGGGGAAGAAACUUGUGCAUCCUUAAUAUUUUUGCUUGCCACCUCAACAAAUAUGAUCUCAAUUCAAUGUAACCUUAGCUCUAAACAUGUUAUUAAUCAAGAAUUUGGGCAUCACCCCUCUUCUUGUCAAAUAUGGAAAAAUUACCACAAUGCCUGCCAGUGAUUUCUCUUUAUCAUCUUCAUUAUUAGUCUUUCAUUUUGUUGAAAACCUCAUUUCUAAACAGGAAUGUGCUUUGAUUGCUAAAUUCAUUAUGUUGCAGUGCUCCACAAACAAAUGGAGUUAUAGACGAUUACAAACAGGAGAUUUUCAACCCUUAAAUCUUUUUAUCCACCUAUUCAUCCAUUCAUUCAUAAUCUAUACAAAACAAGACUUUAUGCUAAGGAUGUGUGAAAUACUAAAUAAAGUUAGAAAUCCUUCUUCACAACAUACUAUAUUUUUACCAGUGUGGCAGGUGCUGAGAAUCCUUCAAAGAUUUUUGGGAAGAUGGAAAAUGAAUCCAAAGUCAGUGUAACUUAAGACCUCAACCCAGGGGGCAUCUCAAAACUACUCAGAAAGACUUACGAAGGCACACCCUUCAUGCUACCCUGAAGGUUCUGACUCAGUAGCUUGGAAGUAGGGCCUGUGCAGAUGCAUUCGUAAAAGCUCCUAGGUGACUAACACUCCAAUCGAUAAAGAGUUGGGUAGAGAAUGUUGAAAUGAGGAGAAUGAGGGAUAAUUAGCCACACAAAGAAACAAAAAGGAGCUCUAACCCAAGGACUUCCUCACAUGAAGUCUACCAUAUUCCCAUGAGAUUUUAUAUGAGAUUUUGAGUGGAUAUCCAUUUUUCUGGGGGAAAAUGAACCAAUAGUGUUUAUAAGAUUCUGAAGGAAGACUAAAACCACUCCAAAAUUAAGAACCGCUAGGAAUACACACUGUGAAAAUGCGAAGGUAAAUGUGAGAAAUCAUGGCUAUACAAUUAAAAGAAUGCCAUGACCUUGUAGAUUGCAUGGGGAUAAAAAUUGUAGCAGGGAAGAAAGAAGUAGAAAAAAUUAAUAUAAAUGUGUCCACCUUUGACACUAGAAGGAUGAGAACCAUGAUAAUCCUUCUGUGAACCAGCAUCCCCCCAUCAACUAUUUCAGUUAAAAGAACUUUGAUAUCCUGCAUGUUGGACUCAUGGUGUGAAUGUGACUCUCAAAGGUAAGGUGUCAAACAGUAAUGAAAAUUUUGGAGGUGAUUACAUAGCUUUGAACAUCAUUUCUGUAGAAAGCUGGUUGAACACGCUGAAGUCAUAAAUAGGCAUCUUUUAUCCUAUUUCUCCCUUUGACUGACUUUCACUUCCCAGGUAAUCUAGAGUGACUAUAGAAGCUACACUAUGUUGAUUUUCCAGCCAGAGGAAUAAGAGGAGAAUAAUAAGGAUGCUAUCUAUACUUCCUUUUAAAGAAGAUUUCUGGAAACCUUCCACUCUACCCUUAAAACUUAGCAGGUACACAAAGCUUUUGGGAGAAUAGGUACAUGGAAGUGUAGGCUUUAUUCUGGGUAUUUGUUCAUCCAGCUGAAUACCAGAGGAAUAGAGUAGAGGAGUUCCUACUGUGGCUCAGUGGGUUACAAACCCGACUAGUAUCCAUGAGGACGCAGGUUCAAUCCCCGGAUUAAGGAUCUGGUGUUGCCUUGAGCUGUGGUGAGGAUUGUAGAAUGGCUCAAAUUACAUGUUGCUGUGGCUGUGGCCAGCAGCUGUAGCUCUGAUUCGACCCCUAGUCUGAGAACUUCUAUAUGCCAGAGGUG